rnacentral:rRNA from 1 species
ACGCGUUGAACCUUACCUACCCUUGACAUGUACGGAACCCUGCUGAGAGGUGGGGUGCUCGAAAGAGAGCCGUAACACAGGUGCUGCAUGGCUGUCGUCAGCUCGUGUCGUGAGAUGUUGGGUUAAGUCCCCGCAACGAGCGCAACCCUUGUCAUUAGUUGCUACGCAAGAGCACUCUAAUGAGACUGCCGGUGACAAACCGGAGGAAGGUGGGGAUGACGUCAAGUCCUCAUGGCCCUUAUGGGUAGGG